ensembl:lncRNA
CAGGCUUAAGGGCACAAAGGAAGGAGCAGAGGAAAAGAGCAAAGUCAAAGGCUCCAGACGUUAAAAUGACUCAGAACAUUCAGCGUUUUGUCGUUUUUAACAGUCGCACAUGAUCAGAAGAUUCACUGAUGUUUGUGUUUAAUGAGACGUAAUCUGUGAUAUUCACUAUAAAAGUGAACGACAGAACAUGGAGGAGGGUCCACCUCCUCUGAUGGACACGAGGAGAAGAGGAGGAGAAGAGGAGGAGAAGAGGAGGAGAAGAGGUGGAGAAGGUGAGGAGAAGAGGUGGAGAAGAGGUGGAGAAGGUGAGGAGAAGAGGUGGAGAAGGUGAGGAGAAGAGGUGGAGAAGGUGAGGAGAAGAUGAGAAGAUGUGGAGAAGGUGUGGAGAAGAGGUGGAGAAGGUGAGGAGAAGAGGUGGAGAAGAGGUGGAGGUGAGAAGGUGUGGAGAAGAGGUGGAGAAGGUGUGGAGAAG